GACGAACGCUGGCGGCGUGCCUAAUACAUGCAAGUAGAACGCUGAAGAGAGGAGCUUGCUCUUCUUGGAUGAGUUGCGAACGGGUGAGUAACGCGUAGGUAACCUGCCUUGUAGCGGGGGAUAACUAUUGGAAACGAUAGCUAAUACCGCAUAACAAUGGAUGACACAUGUCAUUUAUUUGAAAGGGGCAAUUGCUCCACUACAAGAUGGACCUGCGUUGUAUUAGCUAGUAGGUGAGGUAAUGGCUCACCUAGGCGACGAUACAUAGCCGACCUGAGAGGGGGAUCGGCCAAACUGGGACUGAGACACGGCCCAGAAUCAUACGGGAGGCAGCAGUAGGGAAUCUUCGGCAAUGGGGGCAACCCUGACCGAGCAACGCCGCGUGAGUGAAGAAGGUUGUCGGAUCGUAAAGCUCUGUUGUAAGUCAAGAACGGGUGUGAGAGUGGAAAGUUCACACUGUGACGGUAGCUUACCAGAAAGGGACGGCUAACUACGUG
rnacentral:rRNA from 1 species